rfam:Schistosoma mansoni strain Puerto Rico chromosome 7, complete genome
AUCCAUCUGAUGAGUCCCAAAUAGGACGAAAUUCGCGCGUCCUGGAU